AAAAGAACCCCGGCGAGGGGAGUGAAAAAGAACCUGAAACCGUGUACGUACAAGCAGUGGGAGCCUCUUAAUGGGGUGACUGCGUACCUUUUGUAUAAUGGGUCAGCGACUUAUAUUCUGUAGCAAGGUUAACCGAAUAGGGGAGCCGAAGGGAAACCGAGUCUUAACUGGGCGUUAAGUUGCAGGGUAUAGACCCGAAACCCGGUGAUCUAGCCAUGGGCAGGUUGAAGGUUGGGUAACACUAACUGGAGGACCGAACCGACUAAUGUUGAAAAAUUAGCGGAUGACUUGUGGCUGGGGGUGAAAGGCCAAUCAAACCGGGAGAUAGCUGGUUCUCCCCGAAAGCUAUUUAGGUAGCGCCUCGUGAAUUCAUCUCCGGGGGUAGAGCACUGUUUCGGCAAGGGGGUCAUCCCGACUUACCAACCCGAUGCAAACUGCGAAUACCGGAGAAUGUUAUCACGGGAGACACACGGCGGGUGCUAACGUCCGUCGUGAAGAGGGAAACAACCCAGACCGCCAGCUAAGGUCCCAAAGUCAUGGUUAAGUGGGAAACGAUGUGGGAAGGCCCAGACAGCCAGGAUGUUGGCUUAGAAGCAGCCAUCAUUUAAAGAAAGCGUAAUAGCUCACUGGUCGAGUCGGCCUGCGCGGAAGAUGUAACGGGGCUAAACCAUGCACCGAAGCUGCGGCAGCGACACUAUGUGUUGUUGGGUAGGGGAGCG
rnacentral:rRNA from 1 species